CGGCGGUGGCCUCGAUCGGAGAGGGCUUCAAUCCGAUCGGUGACGCGCUCGAUCAGGGAGGGAGGACGACAGCCAGCACGGUGGCAUGGAGGGAGGACGAUGACCAGCAUGAUAGCGUGGAGGGAGGACGUCAAUCGGAGAGGGCUUCAAUCCGAUCAAUGGUGCAUUCGAUCGGAGAGGGAGGACGACUGACAGCUGGCAUUGAGCUCAAC
rnacentral:lncRNA from 1 species